UACGUAGGUGGCAAGCGUUGUCCGGAAUUAUUGGGCGUAAAGCGCGCGCAGGCGGUCUCUUAAGUCUGAUGUGAAAGCCCACGGCUCAACCGUGGAGGGUCAUUGGAAACUGGGGGACUUGAGUACAGAAGAGGAAAGCGGAAUUCCACGUGUAGCGGUGAAAUGCGUAGAGAUGUGGAGGAACACCAGUGGCGAAGGCGGCCUUCUGGACAGUGACUGACGCUGAGACGCGAAAGCGUGGGGAGCAAACAGG
rnacentral:rRNA from 1 species